rnacentral:lncRNA from 1 species
ACAACUGUACGUGAGUGUUGUGUGGCAGAUUUGUGGUUAAGAGAAUUAUCAUGAGACUGUGUUUUUAGUUAAUGCAUUGUGAGAUUUGACACUUGGUAUCUAUGUGUUGGAUAAUUUCAAAUUUUAACGGAAAAGAUACGGUGGCUAAGUCUUCAUUAUGCUUUUCACUUAAUGUGUGCGCUGUCGUACUCGAUGAUUAGUUAGUUCACUUAAUGUGUGUGUUGUCGUACUUGAUGAUUUGUUUCACUUAAUGUGUGUGUUGUCGCACUCAAUGAUUAGUUAGUUCACUUAAUGUGUGCGUUGUCGUACUCAAUGAUUAGUUAGUCAUAGUGUUCGUUGUGUAGUUUAUUUUGUCGCAUCUCCCUUUUCGGCGGCGGUUUUAGUUAAGAUUGAAUUUAUAGAUUACAUGUUUAAUUGUAAAAAAAUCUAAUAUUGGAUAGUAAUACGUAAUGCUUAUGCAUGCAUUGUUAGAUUGCUUUGAAAAAGUUUGUGCGAAAUUAAAUCAAAAUGAUUUCUUUGCUUCGUUUAUCUAUGGCAUAAUUUGGAUUUGCCUGGAUAGUGAACAUUCUUUCUAAUCAUCGUUGAAGUUUUGGAAACAAAAAGUAUGUUAAGUUUUUCUGAAGAGCCUUGUUUGUCUGGUUUAAAUUUUUCAUUUUCUUGCAUAUUAUCAUAUCCAAUUAAUCCGUAUUAGAAUCUAAACCGUUAGGUUAUAUUUUGAUUCCCCUUUCUGUGUUUCUUUGUCCCUGACUUCCUGUGGAUACAAUAAGUUUGCACAAUUAAUCAAUUAUUUAAUGAAAUUUCUACAAUAUUGUUCUUCCCUUCAAUGAGGUUUUUGACCGACCGACGGG